rnacentral:rRNA from 1 species
UACGUAGGGUGCGAGCGUUGUCCGGAAUUAUUGGGCGUAAAGAGCUUGUAGGCGGUUUGUCGCGUCUGCUGUGAAAAUCCGGGGCUCAACCCCGGACUUGCAGUGGGUACGGGCAGACUAGAGUGUGGUAGGGGAGACUGGAAUUCCUGGUGUAGCGGUGAAAUGCGCAGAUAUCAGGAGGAACACCGAUGGCGAAGGCAGGUCUCUGGGCAUUAACUGACGCUGAGGAGCGAAAAGCAUGGGGAGCGAACAGG